rnacentral:rRNA from 1 species
GAUGAACGCUAGCGGCAGGCUUAAUACAUGCAAGUCGAACGGGAUUCAGGGUAGCAAUACUUUGAUGAGAGUGGCGCACGGGUGCGUAACGCGUAUGCAACCUACCUUUAACAGGGGAAUAGCCCCAAGAAAUCGGGAUUAAUACUCCGUAACAUUGCGGGAUGGCAUCAUUCUGCAAUUAAAGAUUUAUCGGUUAAAGAUGGGCAUGCGUGACAUUAGCUUGUUGGUGAGGUAACGGCUCACCAAGGCAACGAUGUCUAGGGGUCCUGAGAGGGUUAUCCCCCACACUGGUACUGAGACACGGACCAGACUCCUACGGGAGGCAGCAGUAAGAUA